rnacentral:rRNA from 1 species
UAACACAUGCAAGUCGAACGGAAUCUUCGGAUUUAGUGGCGGACGGGUGAGUAACGCGUGAGAAUCUGCCUUCAGGAUGGGGACAACAAUUGGAAACGAUUGCUAAUACCCGAUAUGACGAAAGUUGAAAGAUUUAUCGCCUGGGGAUGAGCUCGCGUCAGAUUAGCUAGAUGGUGUGGUAACGGCGCACCAUGGCGACGAUCUGUAGCUGGUCUGAGAGGAUGAGCAGCCACACUGGGACUGAGACACGGCCCAGACUCCUACGGGAGGCAGCAGUGGGGAAUUUUCCGCAAUGGGCGCAAGCCUGACGGAGCAAUACCGCGUGAGGGAGGAAGGCUCUUGGGUCGUAAACCUCUUUUCUCAGGGAAGAACAAAAUGACGGUACCUGAGGAAUCAGCAUCGGCUAACUCCGUGCCAGCAGCCGCGGUAAUACGGAGGAUGCAAGCGUUAUCCGGAAUGAUUGGGCGUAAAGCGUCCGUAGGUGGUUAUGUAAGUCUGUGGUUAAAGCGUGGGGCUCAACCCCAUAAAGGCCAUGGAAACUACACAACUAGAGUCAAGUAGGGGUAGAGGGAAUUCCCAGUGUAGCGGUGAAAUGCGUAGAGAUUGGGAAGAACACCGGUGGCGAAAGCGCUCUACUGGACUUAAACUGACACUGAGGGACGAAAGCUAGGGGAGCGAAAGGGAUUA